AUUAUUUUGGCAGAUUAGUGCAGUAAAUUUAGAAUUUAUUUAUAUAAAUUAUAUUUAUAAGUAAUA
rnacentral:tRNA from 1 species